GGCUACGAAGAAGCUCAACUGAAGUCUACCUGUAAUGAAAGUUCGGAAGAAAUUUGUUUACAGUAGAGGCUCGAAUGGAAUUUGCUUACAGUAGAUAUCUAGAGUAGACCGCCCACCGUAGGAGUUCCGAGUAGACCGCUCGCUGUAGGAGUUCGGAGUAGACCGCUCGUAGUAGAAGUUCGGAGUAGACCGCUCGUAGUAGAAGUUCGGUUCUCACAGGUGCCCGAUUGGAAUCCUGAAGGUGGUCGACCGUCGUAGAAACUUUGAUGGAGUCUGAUUACUGUAGAAAUCUCAUUGUCAAAGA
rnacentral:lncRNA from 1 species